GGGGUUGUAGCUCAGUGGUAGAGCACUUGCCUAGCAUGUGAGAGGCACUGAUUUCGAUCCUCAGCACUACA
rnacentral:tRNA from 1 species